rnacentral:rRNA from 1 species
AGUGAACGCUGGCGGUAGGCCUAACACAUGCAAGUCGAACGGCAGCACAGUAAGAGCUUGCUCUUACGGGUGGCGAGUGGCGGACGGGUGAGGAAUACAUCGGAAUCUACUUUUUCGUGGGGGAUAACGUAGGGAAACUUACGCUAAUACCGCAUACGACCUACGGGUGAAAGCAGGGGAUCUUCGGACCUUGCGCGAUUGAAUGAGCCGAGGUCGGAUUAGCUAGUUGGCGGGGUAAAGGCCCACCAAGGCGACGAUCCGUAGCUGGUCUGAGAGGAUGAUCAGCCACACUGGAACUGAGAAACGGUCCAGACUCCUACGGGAGGCAGCAGAGGGGAAUAUUGGCCAAGGGGCGCAAGCCUGAUCCAGCAAUACCGCGUGGGUGAAGAAGGCCUUCGGGUUGUAAAGCCCUUUUGUUGGGAAAGAAAAGCAGGAGGUUAAUACCCCGCUGUUCUGACGGUACCCAAAGAAUAAGCACCGGCUAACUUCGU